rnacentral:rRNA from 1 species
UACAGAGGGUGCGAGCGUUGUUCGGAAUUACUGGGCGUAAAGCGUGCGCAGGCGGUUGUGCAAGACCGAUGUGAAAUCCCCGGGCUUAACCUGGGAAUGGCAUUGGUGACUGCACGGCUAGAGUGUGUCAGAGGGGGGUAGAAUUCCACGUGUAGCAGUGAAAUGCGUAGAGAUGUGGAGGAAUACCGAUGGCGAAGGCAGCCCCCUGGGAUAACGACUGACGCUCAUGCACGAAAGCGUGGGGAGCAAACAGG